UCCCCCUUUCUUUCCUUUCUUUCUCUCUUAGUUUCUUUCAAGAUUCAUAGGAGGAAGUUCUCUCAGUUGAGGGGAAUGUUGUCUGGCUCGAGGUCACCAACUAGAUCCAUAAGCUCCAUUUCAUGUUUUUCUUAAAAAAUAUAAAGAUACAGUUUUUUUUUUCAUUAGAAAAUUAUACUAAAGAUUAGUUGAUUAUAUGAAAAGGGGUUAUGGAUCAUGAGUCAGUGUUGUCGGACCAGGCUUCAUUCCCCCCAAUUGUUACUUCCUCUCUGGACAAAAAUCAAAGCUUUGACAUGAGACGAGUUUUGGCUUCUGAAAAAGGUAAGUUUUAUUUAUAAGAUCUUGAUAUAUAUGAGACGAGUUUUUAGCUUUUGUAGGUAGUUUUGGACAAGAACAGAUUGGUGUAAUGAUGAAGAAUUUUGACUCAUUCCACUUUCCUGCCACGACUCGGAGAUAUGCAGACUUUUAUCUUAUAUUUUGUACAAGAUCUUGUGACAUCAUCAUAUACAGAGAGUUAUGCUAAUAAAGUUUCUUCACAUGAACAAAAAGCUACAUUCCUCGUUUCUGUUUUACUUUUUGGGUUAAAACUUAUACAAGUGUGAAAGAAUAUAUUCAUCCUAAGCUUUUUGUAAAGCUGGCGUAAGAUUUUUCUAUUUCCUGAAGAAUGAUCAGAGAAUAAUCUUCCAAAUGUUUAUACUCUUUAUCAUGGAGUAAGUUGUGAAUGAGAAGCAAACUAUGUUGGCAGACUCUCCAAAACAGUGGCCGCACCCGUAUUGAAUCCUAUAGCUAUGCAACAUGCACCAAAUGAUAUUUUCGAAGAAUCCGAGCAAUACCGUUGUUUUCUCUUAUUGUGGAUUACCUUAUUACCUUGUUAUUUUUAUUCUGCUUUUAUAUGGCUUUUUGACUAUAUUCUCAUUAAUAUGGUGCUUAUAUGCUUUCCUGAGCCGAGUUUCUAUUGGAAACAACCUCUAUUCUCACAAGGUAGGGGUAAGUCUGCGUACACAGUCUGUGUAUGUUGUUGUUAAUAUAGGUUAAAACCCUCUUGCAGCAGUGACUUGUUUUACAACAUUUUCUUAAUAUUUACAUGUGACAGUGAAUUAUUGUUUACCCUAUACAUUACAAACAGUAAAGUUACUCAACUAGAGUGAUUUUCUUUAAUAAGAAUAGUGUUGUACAAUCAAUAUCAACCCUAUUUGAUGUGAAAAGAAGCUAAGGGCCUGUGAUUGUUGUACAAUUACAUAAUGGAUCUGUGGAUGAACUGGAUUCAACAUUGCAUAUGGCACUUUGGAAAUUGAAGCUGAAUUCUGUCGCUCUCUUGGCUCUAUUACAUUCUUGUGAUCUGCUCCUUUUUUUUGAUGGGAUGUUUUUUGGUACUAUAUACUAGCAUUAUUCACUCACAAUUUAAAAAAGAAAAAAAAUUAAUAGUUGGAAUAUUGAAAGAUUUGAACGACUUUGGAAAUCUCCAAAUGGAAUGAGAGUAGCUUUUCAAGUAAAUUUUUUGUUUUUUCAACAACUCAAAAUUUGCGUUUGCAAAUUUAGUUUUUAAAAAUUUAAAACAAGCACCACCUUGAUACUUUUUGGAAAAUCUGAGGUUUUUUAGAACAUGUUCGAGUGCACUUAUGUACAACAACAACAAACCCAGUUUAAUCCCACAAAGUAGGGUUUGAGGGUAGAGUGUCGCAGACCUUCCGAUAGACCCUGGCUCAAGAUCGAGUGCACGUAUGUAACUAUUGAAAAAUGAAGUGUGGUCUAAUGAAUUCAAUGUAAGUUAUCGCAGCUCCUAUGUACAUUGUUUUGGUGUUAAAGGAUUUCUUGCAUUUCAGCAAUGAAGCUACGUUUACUUUUA